AUUGAACGCUGGCGGCAGGCCUAACACAUGCAAGUCGAACGGUAACAGGAAGAAGCUUGCUUCUUUGCUGACGAGUGGCGGACGGGUGAGUAAUGUCUGGGAAACUGCCUGAUGGAGGGGGAUAACUACUGGAAACGGUAGCUAAUACCGCAUAACGUCGCAAGACCAAAGAGGGGGACCUUCGGGCCUCUUGCCAUCGGAUGUGCCCAGAUGGGAUUAGCUAGUAGGUGGGGUAACGGCUCACCUAGGCGACGAUCCCUAGCUGGUCUGAGAGGAUGACCAGCCACACUGGAACUGAGACACGGUCCAGACUCCUACGGGAGGCAGCAGUGGGGAAUAUUGCACAAUGGGCGCAAGCCUGAUGCAGCCAUGCCGCGUGUAUGAAGAAGGCCUUCGGGUUGUAAAGUACUUUCAGCGCGGAGGAAGGGAGUAAAGUUAAUACCUUUGCUCAUUGACGUUACCCGCAGAAGAAGCACCGGCUAACUCUGUG
rnacentral:rRNA from 1 species